rnacentral:tRNA from 21 species
UUAAUGAGAAUAAAUCAGGUUAUUAUGUUGGAUGUAAUAACUGGGCCAAUUUAUUGGCAACAGGAAUUAAACCUGUGGGACUAUA